GGUUAAGCGACUAAGCGUACACGGUGGAUGCCCUGGCAGUCAGAGGCGAUGAAGGACGUGCUAAUCUGCGAUAAGCGUCGGUAAGGUGAUAUGAACCGUUAUAACCGGCGAUUUCCGAAUGGGGAAACCCAGUGUGUUUCGACACACUAUCAUUAACUGAAUCCAUAGGUUAAUGAGGCGAACCGGGGGAACUGAAACAUCUAAGUACCCCGAGGAAAAGAAAUCAACCGAGAUUCCCCCAGUAGCGGCGAGCGAACGGGGAGCAGCCCAGAGCCUGAAUCAGUGUGUGUGUUAGUGGAAGCGUCUGGAAAGGCGCGCGAUACAGGGUGACAGCCCCGUACACAAAAAUGCACAUGCUGUGAGCUCGAUGAGUAGGGCGGGACACGUGGUAUCCUGUCUGAAUAUGGGGGGACCAUCCUCCAAGGCUAAAUACUCCUGACUGACCGAUAGUGAACCAGUACCGUGAGGGAAAGGCGAAAAGAACCCCGGCGAGGGGAGUGAAAAAGAACCUGAAACCGUGUACGUACAAGCAGUGGGAGCCUCUUUAUGGGGUGACUGCGUACCUUUUGUAUAAUGGGUCAGCGACUUAUAUUCUGUAGCAAGGUUAACCGAAUAGGGGAGCCGAAGGGAAACCGAGUCUUAACUGGGCGUUAAGUUGCAGGGUAUAGACCCGAAACCCGGUGAUCUAGCCAUGGGCAGGUUGAAGGUUGGGUAACACUAACUGGAGGACCGAACCGACUAAUGUUGAAAAAUUAGCGGAUGACUUGUGGCUGGGGGUGAAAGGCCAAUCAAACCGGGAGAUAGCUGGUUCUCCCCGAAAGCUAUUUAGGUAGCGCCUCGUGAAUUCAUCUCCGGGGGUAGAGCACUGUUUCGGCAAGGGGGUCAUCCCGACUUACCAACCCGAUGCAAACUGCGAAUACCGGAGAAUGUUAUCACGGGAGACACACGGCGGGUGCUAACGUCCGUCGUGAAGAGGGAAACAACCCAGACCGCCAGCUAAGGUCCCAAAGUCAUGGUUAAGUGGGAAACGAUGUGGGAAGGCCCAGACAGCCAGGAUGUUGGCUUAGAAGCAGCCAUCAUUUAAAGAAAGCGUAAUAGCUCACUGGUCGAGUCGGCCUGCGCGGAAGAUGUAACGGGGCUAAACCAUGCACCGAAGCUGCGGCAGCGACGCUUAUGCGUUGUUGGGUAGGGGAGCGUUCUGUAAGCCUGUGAAGGUGUGCUGUGAGGCAUGCUGGAGGUAUCAGAAGUGCGAAUGCUGACAUAAGUAACGAUAAAGCGGGUGAAAAGCCCGCUCGCCGGAAGACCAAGGGUUCCUGUCCAACGUUAAUCGGGGCAGGGUGAGUCGACCCCUAAGGCGAGGCCGAAAGGCGUAGUCGAUGGGAAACAGGUUAAUAUUCCUGUACUUGGUGUUACUGCGAAGGGGGGACGGAGAAGGCUAUGUUGGCCGGGCGACGGUUGUCCCGGUUUAAGCGUGUAGGCUGGUUUUCCAGGCAAAUCCGGAAAAUCAAGGCUGAGGCGUGAUGACGAGGCACUACGGUGCUGAAGCAACAAAUGCCCUGCUUCCAGGAAAAGCCUCUAAGCAUCAGGUAACAUCAAAUCGUACCCCAAACCGACACAGGUGGUCAGGUAGAGAAUACCAAGGCGCUUGAGAGAACUCGGGUGAAGGAACUAGGCAAAAUGGUGCCGUAACUUCGGGAGAAGGCACGCUGAUAUGUAGGUGAAGUCCCUCGCGGAUGGAGCUGAAAUCAGUCGAAGAUACCAGCUGGCUGCAACUGUUUAUUAAAAACACAGCACUGUGCAAACACGAAAGUGGACGUAUACGGUGUGACGCCUGCCCGGUGCCGGAAGGUUAAUUGAUGGGGUCAGCGCAAGCGAAGCUCUUGAUCGAAGCCCCGGUAAACGGCGGCCGUAACUAUAACGGUCCUAAGGUAGCGAAAUUCCUUGUCGGGUAAGUUCCGACCUGCACGAAUGGCGUAAUGAUGGCCAGGCUGUCUCCACCCGAGACUCAGUGAAAUUGAACUCGCUGUGAAGAUGCAGUGUACCCGCGGCAAGACGGAAAGACCCCGUGAACCUUUACUAUAGCUUGACACUGAACAUUGAGCCUUGAUGUGUAGGAUAGGUGGGAGGCUUUGAAGUGUGGACGCCAGUCUGCAUGGAGCCGACCUUGAAAUACCACCCUUUAAUGUUUGAUGUUCUAACGUUGACCCGUAAUCCGGGUUGCGGACAGUGUCUGGUGGGUAGUUUGACUGGGGCGGUCUCCUCCUAAAGAGUAACGGAGGAGCACGAAGGUUGGCUAAUCCUGGUCGGACAUCAGGAGGUUAGUGCAAUGGCAUAAGCCAGCUUGACUGCGAGCGUGACGGCGCGAGCAGGUGCGAAAGCAGGUCAUAGUGAUCCGGUGGUUCUGAAUGGAAGGGCCAUCGCUCAACGGAUAAAAGGUACUCCGGGGAUAACAGGCUGAUACCGCCCAAGAGUUCAUAUCGACGGCGGUGUUUGGCACCUCGAUGUCGGCUCAUCACAUCCUGGGGCUGAAGUAGGUCCCAAGGGUAUGGCUGUUCGCCAUUUAAAGUGGUACGCGAGCUGGGUUUAGAACGUCGUGAGACAGUUCGGUCCCUAUCUGCCGUGGGCGCUGGAGAACUGAGGGGGGCUGCUCCUAGUACGAGAGGACCGGAGUGGACGCAUCACUGGUGUUCGGGUUGUCAUGCCAAUGGCACUGCCCGGUAGCUAAAUGCGGAAGAGAUAAGUGCUGAAAGCAUCUAAGCACGAAACUUGCCCCGAGAUGAGUUCUCCCUGACUCCUUGAGAGUCCUGAAGGAACGUUGAAGACGACGACGUUGAUAGGCCGGGUGUGUAAGCGCAGCGAUGCGUUGAGCUAACCGGUACUAAUGAACCGUGAGGCUUAACCUU
rnacentral:rRNA from 1 species